AUUAAUUGUAUUUUGGUUUUGCUGUCGUUGCGUCGACGUGCCGCUUUUGUAACAAAUCUUAAUUAAAUAAUGAAAUAAAUGUGACUGCAGUGUUUGUAAUAGGUGAAAAUAGUGAUAAUGUCUGAUUCGGAAGGCAGUAAUUUUUCCGGGAGCGGUUCAGACGCGGGCAGUGUGGCGUCCAACCGUUCCCGAAGGAGCGUGAGGUCCAAUCGCUCGGCGCGGUCCCGCUCGGCGUCUCGCUCGCGGUCAGCCUCCAGGUCCGUGAGCCGCAGCCCGUCGCGCUCCCGCUCCAGGUCGCGCUCGCGGUCCCGGUCGCGGUCACGCUCGCGCUCACGCUCAAGAAGUGGGUCAGCAGCGUCCCGCGGCAGCCGCAACAAAGAUGAUGAGGCAAAGGAAGCAUCCGGAGAUGAGGAGGUUGAGGAUGAACAAGAGCCAGAGGGGGAGGACCUGGUGGACUCGGAGGAGUAUGAUGAAGAUGAAGAGGAAGAGAAGUUGAGGAAGAAGAGGAAAAAGGACAGCCGAUAUGGUGGUUUCAUUAUUGAUGAGGCUGAGGUGGACGACGAGGUGGACGAGGACGAGGAGUGGGAGGAGGGCGCGGCGGAGAUGGGCAUCGUGGGCAACGAGGUGGACGAGGUGGGCCCCACCGCGCGCGAGAUCGAGGGCCGCCGCCGCGGGACCAGCCUCUGGGACUCGCAGAAGGAGGAGGAGAUCGAGGAGUAUUUGAGAAACAAGUAUGCGGAUGAGUCGGCGGCCCUGAGACACUUUGGUGAGGGAGGCGAGGAAAUGUCCGACGAAAUCACGCAACAGACGUUGUUACCCGGUAUUAAAGACCCCAAUUUAUGGAUGGUCAAGUGCAAAAUUGGAGAAGAAAAGGCCACAGUGCUAUUGCUGAUGAGGAAGUUUAUUGCAUAUCAGUUUUCUGAGGAACCAUUCCAGAUUAAGUCUGUCGUAGCGCCGGAGGGUGUGAAAGGGUACAUUUACAUCGAGGCGUACAAGCAGACGCACGUGAAAGCUCUAAUAGACAACGUGGGCACGCUGCGGAUAGGGAUCUGGAAACAGGAGAUGGUGCCCAUCAAGGAGAUGACAGACGUGCUGCGUGUGGUGAAGGAGCAGGCGGGGCUGAAGCCCAAGCAGUGGGUGCGGCUGAAGCGCGGGCUGUACAAGGACGACAUCGCUCAGGUGGACUACGUGGACCUGGCGCAGAACCAGGUGCACCUGAAGCUUCUCCCGCGCAUCGACUACACGCGGCUGCGCGGCGCGCUGCGCACCGGCCAGAGCGAGGCCGAGGCCGCCAAGCGCAAGAAGAAGCGGCGCCCCGCGGCCAAGCCCUUCGACCCGGAGGCCAUCCGCGCCAUCGGCGGCGAGGUCACCUCCGACGGGGACUUCCUCAUCUUCGAGGGCAACCGCUACUCGCGCAAGGGCUUCCUGUACAAGAACUUCACGAUGUCGGCCAUCCUGGCGGAGGGCGUGCGGCCGUCGCUGGGCGAGCUGGAGCGCUUCGAGGAGCAGCCCGAGGGCGUGGACAUCGAGCUGGCGGCGCCCGCGCGCGGCGACCCCGGCGCGCUGCACUCCUUCAGCAUGGGCGACAACGUGGAGGUGUGCGCCGGCGACCUGGCCAACCUGCAGGCGCGCAUCGUGGCCAUCGACGGCGCCAUGAUCACCGUCAUGCCGCGCCACGACGCGCUCAAGGACCCGCUCGUGUUCAAGCCGAGCGAGCUGCGCAAGUACUUCAAGCAGGGCGACCACGUGAAGGUGCUGGCGGGCCGCUACGAGGGCGACACGGGGCUGGUGGUGCGCGUGGAGCCGGGCCGCGCCGUGCUCGUGUCCGAUCUCACCAUGCACGAGCUGGAGGUGCUGCCGCGCGACCUGCAGCUGUGCUCCGACAUGGCCACGGGCGUGGACUCGCUGGGCCACUUCCAGUGGGGCGACCUGGUGCAGCUGGACGCACAGACCGUGGGCGUCAUCGUGCGCCUGGAGAAGGAGAGCUUCCACGUGCUGGGCGUGCAGGGCAAGGUGCUGGAGGUGAAGCCGCAGGCGCUCAGCAAGCGCCGCGAGAACCGCUUCACCGUGGCGCUGGACUCGGAGCAGAACACCAUCCAGAAGAAGGACGUGGUGAAGGUGAUCGACGGGCCGCACGCCGGCCGCAGCGGCGAGGUCAAGCACCUGUACCGCAACUACGCCUUCCUGCAGUCGCGCAUGUACCUGGACAACGGCGGCGUGUUCGUGUGCAAGACGCGCCACCUGCAGCUGGCGGGCGGCAGCAAGCAGCCGGCGGCGCCCGGCCUGGGCUUCAUGUCGCCGCGCAUCCAGUCCCCGCACCCCGGCCGCGGCGGCAUGACCCCCGGGGGCCGCGGGGGCGGGGGGCGCGGCGGGGGACGCGGGCCCGCGCGCGACCGCGAGCUCAUCGGACAGACCAUCAAGAUCACAGGCGGCCCGUACAAGGGCAACGUGGGCAUCGUCAAGGACGCCACGGGGUCCACGGCGCGCGUGGAGCUGCAUUCCACGUGCCAGACCAUCAGCGUGGACCGCGGGCACAUCGCGGGCGCGGGGGGCGGGCGGGGCGCGGGGGCGGCGCUGCGCACGCCGGGCCGCACGCCCGCGCCCGGCCAGGGCACGCCCACGUACCGCGACACGGGCAUCAAGACGCCCAUGCACGGCUCGCAGACGCCCAUCUACGACAUCGGGAACCGCACGCCGCACUACGGCUCGGCCACGCCGUCGCACGACGGGUCGCGCACGCCGGCGCACGGCGCGUGGGACCCGGCGGCGGCCGCCACGCCCGCGCGCCCCGCCGACUGGCUGGACGACGCGCCCUCGCCCGGCUACGACCCGUCCGCCGGCGCCUACCCGCCCGGCCCCUUCACCCCGCAGACGCCGGGCACCAUGUACGGCUCGGACCACACGUACAGCCCCUACCAGCCGUCGCCGUCGCCCGGCUACCAGGCGGGCUACACGCCGUCGCCGGGCGGCUACUCGCCGCGCUCGCCCUACGCCGGCGGGGCCGAGGCGCCGCUGGACUGGCACACGACCGAGGUGGAGGUGCGCGUGCGCGGGGGCGGGGCGGGGGGCGAGGCGCUGGCGGGGCAGCUGGGCGUGGUGCGCGGGCUGUCGGGCGGCUCGUGCGCGGUGUACCUGCCGGGCGAGGACCGCGUGGUGUCGCUCCCGGCCGCGGCGCUGGAGCCCGUGGUGCCGCAGCGCAACGACCGCGUGAAGGUGGUGGCGGGCGAGGACCGCGAGGCCACCGGCACGCUCAUCUCCAUCGAGAACCAGGAGGGCGUCGUCAAGUUCGGCGCCGACGACAUCAAGAUCAUGCAGCUGCGGCACCUCUGCAAGAUGCCCUCCAACUAGACUGCUCACUGCUGGUGAUGAUGAUACGCGGGAUGGAAACUAGGUUUAGUACUGAUACGUAUGAGGAUGUAAGCGGCAAAAGUUUCUAUUAUGUAUUUAGAUUUUAUUGUAGACAAUGCCUGGUGACUGUAUAUGUAUAUACAUACUUUCUCAAGACGAAAACCAUUGCAGUAGCCCAUUACCUUCAUGAAAUUUAAUUGCUCUUAAGAGAAGUUGUUAUUACAAUUAUAUUGACUGUAUUAUGGUGUAAAAGUUGGUACCUUAGGUAUUUAUUUAACAAAUACUGUAACUGUAAGUACCUUGCAAAACCGACGACAAAAAUAAAUAUUAAUUAUUCAAUUCUAAUGUUUUCUUUCAGCGAAAUAAGCUACCUAAAGGAUUUAAGAUACUUCCCCUCCAAGACCCUUUUUUUCCACUCUGUAGUGUCUUAUAGUCAACGAUUGUUGACUGAUGAUGUGAUUUGAUGAUGAGGGUUCAUUAGGAGUUAUAAUAGCUUGAGAGGUUGCAUAAACACCCCCUAGCAGUGGUUGGUAAGUUACUAUAAAAACGACUAAAAUAUGAUUUUAUUAACAUUUAUUGAAUAAAUAAUACAAAAUUGGUUUUCAGUAAUAUCUUUAGAGAAUUGCAAACAAAAAAAUAAAAUGCAGUCACAUAAACUGAGCAAAAUUACUAAUAACAUUAUUAUAAUAAUUAAUUUACAGUGAAUAACAUCGAAAAAUAUGUUGUUACUAAGUACCUAGUAACACAUACGAUACGCAUUUCACAUUUAAUAAAUACAUUUAUGGAAUUUAUCGUUACAGUUAGGUACCCCGUACCUACAGAGAAUAUUCUAUUGCUGCUAUAUGUUAUAUAAGUAAUGUGGAAUCGAAGCGAAGUUAUAGAUACAGUAAAUGCUCAGCAAAAUGCGGAAACAAAGGACGCUGAAUA